CUUGGUCAUUUAGAGGAGUAAAAGUCGUAACAAGGUUUCCGUAGGUGAACCUGCGGAAGGAUCAUUAUUGAAUUACGGGCGAGGGUUGUCGCUGGCCUCUCGGGGCAUGUGCACGCCCGAGCCAUCCCCAACAAACGCCGUGGGCCUUCGGGCCCGCGUAUAUUUACUCUGAAUGUGUAUAGAAUGUAAACCAUUUGUUUGCCCUGAAAAAGCAAACGAAAAAUAGUACAACUUUCAACAACGGAUCUCUUGGCUCUCGCAUCGAUGAAGAACGCAGCGAAAUGCGAUAAGUAAUGUGAAUUGCAGAUUUUCAGUGAAUCAUCGAAUCUUUGAACGCACCUUGCGCCCCUUGGUAUUCCGAGGGGCAUGCCUGUUUGAGUGUCAUUAAAUCCUCAACCGCGCCGAUUGAUUUUCGGUGGGGCUUGGACUUUGGAGCGUGCUGGCGAAGGUCGGCUCCUCUUUAAAUGCAUCAGCGGAAGAAACCUUUGUCUUUCCCGCCUUCGGUGUGAUAAUUGUGUUGCGCCGUGGUGGAACUUCAACGAUCCGCUUACAAUGGUCUUCGGACGAAACCUCAUGUCAUCUUGACCUCAAAUCAGGUAGGACUACCCGCUGAACUUAAGCAUAUCAAUAAGCGGAGGAA
rnacentral:rRNA from 1 species